rnacentral:rRNA from 1 species
CAUAGCGACUAUCGUGGCAUAUCAAUAAGCGGAGGAAAAGAAACUAACAAGGAUUCCCCUAGUAACGGCGAGUGAAGCGGGAAGAGCUCAAAUUUGAAAUCUUAAAGGGUUUCCCUUGACGAAUUGUAGUUUAAAGAAGUGUUUUCUGUUGGAGUUUUCGGUAAAAGUUCUUUGGAAUAGGACAUCAUAGAGGGUGAGAAUCCCGUAUUUGACCGUUACUUUCCAGCUGUGUGAUACACUUUCAAAGAGUCGGAUUGUUUGGGAGUGCAGUCCAAAAUGGGUGGUAAAUUUCAUCUAAAGCUAAAUAUUGGCGAGAGACCGAUAGCGAACAAGUACCGUGAGGGAAAGAUGAAAAGAACCUUGAAAAGAGAGUUAAACAGUACGUGAAAUUGUCAAAAGGGAAGCGUUUGACACCAGUGUUGUUUAGUUCGAAAAUCAAUUCAAUAAUUUUUGAUUUUGAGUAGUAUUGACUUCAUCAGCUUGCUGCUUUCUUUUCGGAAAUUAUUGAAUGCACUUUUCAGUUAACAAGUCAACAUCAAUUUCUUUUGUUGUAAAAGGGUAAGAGGAAGGUGGCUUACGCUUCGGCGUAAGUGUUUAUAGCCUUUUACCUCUGCAAUCGGAGAGAUUGAGGACAGCAGCGUAGACUCCUUCGGGGGUUAGAUACACUUGUGCUAAGCUAUAGCCUUGUAUAGACAACUUGUUGACUAUGCUCAGUCAUGUAGCUUACUCGCUUAUGCUAUUUUACCUACGCUUAGGAUGUUGAUAGUCACAGCGUGUAC